GACGAACGCUGGCGGCGUGCUUAACACAUGCAAGUCGAGCGGUAAGGCCCUUUCGGGGGUACGACGAGCGGCGAACGGGUGAGUAACACGUGGGUGACCUGCCCUUAGCUCUGGGAUAAGCCUGGGAAACUGGGUCUAAUACCGGAUAUGACUCCAUGACGCAUGUUGUGGGGUGGAAAGCCUUGUGCGGCUAGGGAUGGGCCCGCGGCCUAUCGGCUUGUUGGUGGGGUGAUGGCCACCAAGGCGACGACGGGUAGCCGGCCUGAGAGGGCGACCGGCCACACUGGGACUGAGACACGGCCCAGACUCCUACGGGAGGCAGCAGUGGGGAAUCUUGCGCAAUGGGCGAAAGCCUGACGCAGCGACGCCGCGUGGGGAGUGACGGCCUC
rnacentral:rRNA from 1 species